AAUCCAUGCUGUGGCCAUUUCAGCAAAAGAUCCUUAAAUCGCUCCCAUGUCUCAAACAAGGACUUGAGCUCCAUCUAAACAAACGAUGGUAUCUCAUUACGAAGCUU